GAAGAGUUAGUUUAUGAUAAAAUAUUAAUUUGUCAAAUUAAUGAAACUAUUCAGUAUUCUUUU
rnacentral:tRNA from 1 species